rnacentral:rRNA from 1 species
AUUGAACGCUGGCGGCAUGCUUUACACAUGCAAGUCGAACGGCAGCGCGGUCUUCGCCCUGUCUGCGAGUGGCGAACGGGUGAGUGAUUCAUCAGAACGUCCCCAGUUGUGUUUUAUAGCCCGGCGACGGCCGGAUUAAUACCCCAUUAGACCUGAGGGUGUAAGCGGGGGACCGAAGGGCCUUCCGCUCUUGCACGGUCCGAUGUCGGAUUAGCUAGUUGGUUGGGUAAAGGCUUACCAAGGCGACGAUCCGUAGCUGGUCUGAGAGGAUGAUCAGCCACACUGGGACUGAGACACGGCCCAGACUCCUACGGGAGGCAGCAGUGGGGAAUAUUGGACAAUGGGGGCAACCCUGAUCCAGCCAUGCCGCGUGCGGGAAGAAGGCCUUCGGGUUGUAAACCGCUUUUGUUCGGGAAGAAAACCUCUGGGCUAAUACCCCGGGGGGAUGACGGUACCGGAAGAAUAAGCACCGGCUAACUACGUG